UAGUUUGUGAGGUUUGCAGGGACUCGACAUGGGCGCAGCACGUUCAGACAUUCCUGGCCUGUGUUGGUGUUGCGAUUGUCCCCGUCAGUCACAUUGCAGAGUUUUUCCAGUUUUCUGAAACUACGGGACUUGCACAGGUGGAAAAGCUUGUAGUGUUUGUUUGUUUUCUAUGCGAGGGUCUUCCUUUCCUCUGGUGGUGAUCAUGAUUCUCGCCGUUGUUAAUAUGGAGCACUUUGAUACGUUUGAUUUAGGACAAAACUAAGACGUCUUAUAAGAAAGCAUCACUCAUUGUGGCCUUGUCGCCUCUGCAAUCGCGCGCACCACUGCAGCUGCAGCUGCCGUUAGGUGCCGUGUUUCAACACUUUCGGUCGUCGCUGUUGCGCCCCCUUCUUUACCGGCCUUCGUUGCUACGCUUGCCGGCGAUGCAUCCUGCCGCAGGAACCACCAGCGUUGGAGAAAAAGAGGAAGAAAAAAAGAUGCAUGCAAGAUCUGAUACUGCAACCAGGGGAUGGACGAUAUGUGAUGCUGCAACAAGUGGACGGAUGAGAUUUGGUUGUAAAGGGAAUUCACAGGACAUGAGGUUACAGAUCAACCGACUGACCCCUCGUUUUUUCUUUUAAAUUAAUUGAUGCCUCGUUUGAAUGGACUGAAGUAAGAAAUUUCAUUGAAUUGCAUACAAGAUGGAACGCAUAUCAACUAGCAGAAUUUUAAAUCGUAUGGCAACAUUGCAUCAAUAUAAAUUUCAUUGAAUUGCCUACAAGAUGGAACACAUAUCAUUGCAUUGCAUACAAGAUCGAACAUAUACAUUGAAAUGCAUACUAACACCUAUUGUCGACAGUUUUGUGAAGGAGCAAAAGGUGGUCAGUGACGAUGCAGGCCGAGGAACAAGAUACAAUGUGCUUGUCGAUACACGGCGUAGGUCAGUGUUGUAACAACCUAUAUAAAAGCUAGCAUGCACACCAUUUUCCCUAGCUACCUCUUGCAAAAUUUCCAAUCUUAGAGUAUGGGCCGUAUAUGGUGGAUAACCUGCGAAAGAAAAGAGGUGAAUCAGUAAUGUCGUGUCUUAGGGACUCUUCUUCCAAACAAGCUUUUUAUUGAUCAUACAUCUAUAUGUACUAUCGGUUA